CCUUUUCCUGAGUUUCCCUCCUUCAUCCCCUUCCAUGGCAGCACCUUCACUCUCCUCCGCUCUCAACUCUCUCUCCUCCCCCUCCCUCUCUCUCUCCUUCUCCACCUCCUCCCGCCGCUUCUCUCUCCUCCCUCCACCCUCACACCAACCCUCCAAACCCCUCUUCCUCACCCUCAAAUCCAAACCCUCCGACGACAUUGACACAUCGUUCUUCGACAACAUCAACCCGCAAGACGACAUCACAUUCAAUCCCCCGGAGCCCCCGGA
rnacentral:lncRNA from 1 species